rnacentral:tmRNA from 1 species
GGGGGUGUACCGGUUUCGACGAUGGUGAUGAGGGCGUGUGCCGCGUGCCGGGGUCAAGGUUCCGUAAACUGAGAAAAACAUAACUGCGAUUUUCGGAAGAAAAGAAGAAGAAGUCGAAGAGACUUCUUUUGCAGAAGCUCUCGCGGCGUAAGUCGCUCGGGCCGGAAACAGGGUUGCGCUGUUCCUAGCGGUGCUGUUUUCCGUCACAAACAGGGACUUGCCGUGCGCCGUGUUCAGGCGACGUGCGGGACUGCUUACUGAAAUACGGAGCAGACGCUUGUUGUGCUGCUACCUGCUCCCGACAACUACCUCGCACAACUACGCACGUAGACGCGCAUGGUUUCCACUUUCGGACGCGGGUUCAAUUCCCGCCACUUCCAGAC